CACAACAAUAAAGAUAGGGUAGUGUAUAAUAGCUAAAACAGUGCUCAGGUAUUUUUCACUUAAGGAAAGUAUAGAGAUGUUAAAUAACUUUGGCUUAUAGAAAAAUAUUGUAAUAGCUUCAUCUCAGGAAAAAAGGUAGAGAUGGAAAUUAAGCUUUCAUAUUGUUUAAUUUAAUCUAUGCAUACAUACAAAGAAGAUACAAUCCUUCAAAUCUGGGUAAUGGGCAAAUUUCCAUUUAAUUAUCUGUAUUUUUUCUGUAAAUUGAUAAAAUGCAAUUACGAAACAUUUUAAAAAUAACAAAGUGUCAAAAACAGUAAAUAACUGUUUUAUUUUGAUACUGCUUUUCUUAUUGCAAGUUUGUAUUGUUUUCCAAGCAAAGAUUAUCUGGCAAGCUAAACUGAAAGGAUGGAGCAAAAGCUGUGAAGUCAGACGACAGGGCAGAUUGCAGACCAAGCAGGAUGUUCUUUGUAUGUUGAAACCUGGUCACAGCAGCUUCUUCACUAACAAAGGGAUUUUCCGGAAGUCUUCUUGAGUAGUCUGUUACAUCUUAUUUCUACAUUGUAAGCCAAAUUACUAAUGAAAUUUUCCAUGCUUUCUGGAUCUGGUAAUGUUCAAAAGUAAACCAAACAUUUACUUCGCUGCAUCAUGGACACCUGACUCCUUUGAAGUACGGAGAACCUUUCAUCUUACUUUUGUAAAACUCCCAGUUUUAAUUCAUCAUGGAGGAUACCUUUAAAAACUGUUUUUUCUUGCAUAUUGAGUGAGAUUGGCCAGUCAUAAGACGGGGCUUGAGCUGCGGCUGUUGUUCUCGUGAUUUAUAUUGCGUCAUCUCUCUUCUCCAGUCUACAUCCUGAAGUAAACAGAUGAAAAAUGAGACAGCUGGCUGGGACAAGGAGAUCUCGGCCCACCUUUGACAGAGGUCCUGUGAGCAGCCAAGGGGUAGCCUGUGGCUACAGUUCUUGUGUCUGAUUAACUGACUGAGACAAUGUCAGUCAUCAGUCAAUGGCUUUGUGGUUCGAGUUGUGAUAAGAUACAACUUUGAUAAUAAGCAAUGUGUCUAUGUGUAUUAGUUUGCUAGGGCUGCCAUAACAAAGUACCAUGGACUGGGUGGUUGAAACAAAGAAAUUUAUUUUCUCACAGUUUUGGAGGUUGGAAAGUUCAAGAUUGAGGUGUUCGCAGGGCUUUUCUCCUUGGCUUCUAGAUAGCGAUCUUCUCCCUGUGUCUUCACACGGUUUUCCUUUUGUACACGUCUGCAUCCUAAUUUCCUUGUCUUCUAAGGACACCCGUAAUACUGGAUUACAGCCCAUUAUAAUGACCUCAUGGUAACUUAAUUACCUCUUUAAAGAUACUAUCUCUGAAUACGGUCACAUUCUGAGGUGCUAGAAUAUGAAUUUUCAGGGUCACAAUUCAGCCCAUGACUCUAUGACUAAAGAAUUCCAUUCCAAUUACCCUUAUUGCCCAAGACAUAUUUGGAAUGGACUCUGCCAUACUCCAAACCACUCUUGUUCCUGUUAAUUAAGUGCUAAAUAAAACAGAAAACAAACAAAAAAUGUAAGAAGGAAUCAGUACAAAGGAAAUAUCCCAGAAAAC